AGAAAAAUAAGCUAAUUUAAGCUAAUGGGCUCAUACCCCAUCAAUGGUAUUGAACCUUUUUCUA
rnacentral:tRNA from 1 species